UCUGCCAUUUUGUUCAUGAGACGAUUGUAUUUAAGAGCUGCCUCCAAGUGAGUUAAGCUUACUUCUGCCAGUAACUACAAUGUCAAGCGGUGGAGGCUUAUCCUGGCAUAGCUGUAUGCGCUAUUCAAAUCUGCACAAAAUAUACUUGUUAUUUAUCCAGAAAUUGAGAUAUUGAAGUUUUUUGGAUGACGCAUAGCCUAAUUAGCAGACUAUAUUUAUUGUUGAUAUACACUAAAACUGUUUAUCAGCUAAAUAUCUUUUUGAAUCUAAUUUUCUGUAUGACAGCAAUGCCAGUUUUGCAAUUUGUUUCCUUGACACUGUUAACCCUGUGAUAUAGACUACAUUUGGCAGCAUGGUCUGGGCAAGCACAGGUUGUAAGCUAUCUCUGCAAGCAAAAGGC
rnacentral:lncRNA from 1 species